UUCCCGGUGGCGCAAUUGGUUAACGCGCGGCACUUAUACGGCAAUGCCAGGGAGUAAUGCCGAGGCUGCGAGUUCGAGCCUCGCCAUGGAAG